rnacentral:rRNA from 1 species
CCUACGGGAGGCAGCAGUGGGGAAUAUUGGGCAAUGGGCGCAAGCCUGACCCAGCAACGCCGCGUGAAGGAAGAAGGCUUUCGGGUUGUAACUUCUUUUCUCAGGGACGAAGCAAGUGACGGUACCUGAGGAAUAAGCCACGGCUAACUACGUGCCAGCAGCCGCGGUAAUACGGAGGUGGCAAGCGUUAUCCGGAUUUACUGGGUGUAAAGGGCGUGUAGGCGGGACUGCAAGUCAGAUGGGAAAACCACGGGCCCAACCUGUGGCCUGCAUUUGAAACUGGAGUUCUUGAGUACUGGAGAGGCAGACGGAAUGCGUGGUGUAGCGGUGAAAUGCGUAGAUAUUAGGAGGAACACCAGUGGCGAAGGCGGUCUGCUGGACAGCAACUGACGCUGAGGCGCGAAAGCGUGGGGAGCAAACAGGAUUAGAUACCCUUGUAGUC